CACAAGGACUGGUCACCUGGUGUAUUCAAAUCAACUGCGGAUGGAGCACUCGUGGACGCCUGGCUGUGGAUUUCCCAGGCUUAAAGGUCCACGUGUCUUUCUCUCUCUCUCGGCUCGUGAGUAGGACAAAACACGCCCGUUUUAUUCCGCCACUGGAUCGAUGGCCCGUCAGAUUUCGUGAAUUAAAAAAAAAACCCAAAACCCCCCCAAAAAAGUGAACGAAAACUACCGUGACGCAACGCUUACGCGCCCACCUUGACCAACAUUCACUUUUUUCUUUCUUUUUUUGGGUUUGAAAGAAAAUGACCAUCAACAUCUCCCCUCCUCCAGAGGAAGAAGAAGACGCCGGUGACCUCCGGUUCGUCGGGAGCUGCAAGACCUUAUUUCUUUUCUUCAUCAAGGAGUGAAUUAAAAACGAUGCAAUAAAAAAGGACCUUCCUUCUUCUUUCUUCCAUCUCCCCAAUAAAAGAGGAGUAAUGUAAUGCGUGUGUAAUUUCACCAUAAGGGAACUGUGGGAAAUAAACGCAGAGUCUCUACUCUGAUGUUCUGAAGAUUCUACCAGAUUUUUCUUUACUUCUUUAGGGAUUACAAAUGAAGUGCAAUCAAGAGUUAGAAGUUCGUGAGGCCCUUGGCGGGAGGUGGAAUUGAAGGACCCGAUGAACUGAAAUUCAUCUGAUGGCCAGCGGCCGGGCGUCCGGCCUCCGCAGUGCAACAACGGAAGACUCAAAUCCACACGACGACUUUUGCUGGAAGAGAGAAGAGACAACAAUAAAAUUCUCUGCACGUCCUGGAAGAAGAGCGCCAUUAACCUUGCCCCCCAUCGGCUAAAAAGCCCAUCCUCUUAAGCCGGAUCUCUCUCAAAGUCUUCGAGGCGGAUACUGUGCUGGAUUUAUUCUUGUUGGCUUUGGAUGUGGACGUAAAAGAAAAAAUAAAGAAACAUCCCAACAAAUAAGUGACGUCUCCUCUUAUGCCCACCGACUGAUUUACUGCCGGCGCUGCCUAUCUUCUGACGUCAGACACUCCGAUGAUUAGGUCCCCCCCAUUGGUUAGCCUAUACCACGACCCCCAAGACAUUUUCCCAUCCAGCAUGAAGAAAAGUCAAAAGUGUCGUCUGCUUUCGAAUUUAUGUAAAAUGCUGGUUUCGAAAAUGAAGAAGUUAUUUAAAGAAAACGGGUGCACGAAAAACAGCCGAGAAAAUAAAAUUACUAAUAUGUGGUUGUCAUGUCAACUCUGGUCGCAUCUCUUUAUGGAAUCGCUCAAUAGUCAAUAUACACUCCAUGCUGUAUUUCAGAUUUGAGACCUGAACCAGCCAUCAUAACAAGAAGAUAUGCAAGUGCUGUCGUAUCAUGCUGUCAUCAGCAACAAUCUCUGUAUCAUCGCUUGGAUAAUCAGCAUCCCGUUUGAUUGAAGAAACCACCAAUGCCGGUCGCGUUAUCUAUCUCUUCUUCCUCUUUCUUUAAAUGUUCUCGUGUACACCCAUGUGAGUGUGGGGGGUAUUCAUACUAGGACGCCCUGGCCGCCUGGUGUAUUCAACUCUUCAGUGGAUGGAACACUUGUGGAUGCCUGCCUGUAUUUCCCAGGCAUAAAGGUUGAUGGACUUUGGCAGAUGAGACGCUGAAAUAUGCUCCUUAAACGGGCAGCCAGAUGCGCUGUAGCGAUGCUGGAUGACGUUGCUGUCGAAAAAGCUUUGUGCAGAAAAUAAUUUAAAAGGAGCUGACCAAUUUCGUCCAUCCAGAUGCAGCAGAUUGGAAUACGAAUGAGUUGACACAUUCCCCCAAUGGAGAAUAUUAUGCGGGCGCAAAUGACGACGACGGCCUUCACUCGUAUAGAUUUCCGAGGCCAGCAGGGGACGGACACCUUGUUGCAUCAAAUCCAUAAAUUUAGGCGCCCAUGCUGCCCUGCGUGCGCUAUUGCACAUUCAACACAAUGCUAUAUAGCCUACUGCUUUUAUAGCUACCGGGACGAAAAGAUAAAUCAGUUGCGUCAGCAUUAGCGCUUUUAUGUGUUGUUACUUUCAAAACGCUCUCGGGCCCUUCUCUCUGAAGGGUUCAGUUCUAUAUUACAUGGCGCCUGUGGUGGUUUAAUUAGUAUAUACUCCGCGUCUAAUCUCUAAUAUAGUAUAUAAAAAGCCUUUCAUUUUUACUCUGUGUUUUUUUUUUUUUUUUUCUUUUUUCGAGAUAGACGCCAAAAUGACAAUUUCAAGUAGACAUGGGCUGACGCCACGAUAGAUGGCCUCCGGGAUUUGAUCCUAUUCAAAACAUUAUAAAAACAAAAACUUCAAUUUUCUUUCCGACAGUUUAUGGCGUUCAGAAAAACACAGCUCCCCCCUCCUCCGAUCUCU